rnacentral:lncRNA from 1 species
CUCUUAGAGAGAUAAAUAAGAGAGAGGGAGAACUAGAGAAAGAGGGGUGGCCGGUGGCGACGUUUGGCGGCGAUUUGCGAUGGCUAGUGGUGGCCGGAGGUGGUCGGACUUGUGAGAUUCAACCUGGAACCAAUUAUCGAUGCUACGAACGCAAUGGUUACACGGAUCGUUACCAUUUAUCAUAAAGGACAAGGGGGCAAAGAUCGAGUCAUAGAACAUGGAUUGUAUGGAAUGGUGGUCACUUAGUUUGCAUUCGCAUGUUAUAGUUGGUACAUUAAUUAAAGAUGAAUGAUGUAAUUCUUUUAAAGGAAUCGUUUUAAAUGGUUUUCAAGUAUGUUAGAAUAUUUAAAAAGAAAGAAAUUUUGAGGUUUGUAUU